rnacentral:tRNA from 1 species
GGGGAUUUAGCUCUGUGGUAGAGUGCUUGCCUAGCAAGCACAAGGCCCUGGGUUCAAUCCUCAGCUCCA